CGAGCCCGCUCGUCUGG
rnacentral:tRNA from 1 species